CCUCAAAAGUCCACGAACUUUCCUGUACUCAUAGGGACCUGGUGUGCAGUGGCUGCAGACAGCAGCCUCCUCAGUAGUGUUCACAGCCUGCUGCUUGUGUGGGUUGCCCUAAGGAACCUUGGAGAUAGGU
rnacentral:snoRNA from 1 species